UGUGGGGGUGUCCUGGUCCGUCCCGGGUUGUGACCCUCUCGGGCGCCAGUGGCCUGAUCCCCCUGCAGGCCCCGUGCUGCCGCUGGAGCGGCCUGGGGGCGCCGCCCUGAGCACCCCAGUGCACCCCGCUCUGUGACUAGCCCCUUCCCCCAGCCGCUAGCGCCCGGCGGGGAGCUGCCCCGGGGUGAGUGAGAGCGGCUGGAAGCGGGGUGUCAUCUACGCUGAGCUGAUCCUCGGGGGCCAGCACAUCAGCCCGCCCUUAGCCCGAGGGAGCUACUGGUUCUGUGGGGUAUCGCUGGCGAGGAAGGAGAACAGAAGGAGGUGGCUUUGUGGGCUGAAAUACCCCGGGCUCCCCUCCACCAUGCCCUUGUUGAAGAGAGCGGGGGGCAUUUGAGAUCGCUCCAGUAUUGCUCCAGGUUUGUUCCACACAGGUUCUGAAGACAGUGCCCAUCUUCCCUCUGUAGGGCUCUUCCUCUAAGAGGCUCUGUUGGACCACCCUGCUUCUCCAACAGCACUGUCUCUCAGAACUGCCAGCUGUCAAGGCACCUUGUCUUUGGCCCCAAGGCCUCUUGCAAAGAAAUUGGAGAGAGACUGAACAUCCAUGGGGUCUUCCAGCCUCCUGCUGCUCCAUCACAGUUAGGAGAUAAGGUUGUGUGUGCAGAAUGGUCAGUUUGUAAAUGAUCCAGUGCUUAAUCUUGAAAAACACACAUCAUCCUUAUCUGCCUACCAUUUGAGCCCAUAGUAAGACACUCUGGAGCCCAUCACCCCAGCAGUAACUCCUGGAAGUAUUAUGUAAGACAAGAAUCAGGCUCAGCAUAUUAGAUUAUCUCCCAGUAUAACCAGCUGGCAGUGACUAGCAGUGAUUUUUCAACACAUUAUGGACAAAUACAGCAAAGGAUUAGAAGAGCUGUGGAGAGAAGCAGCAGAGAUGCGCUUGAGCAACUUGGACUCAGUUAAAGAAGAUGACAGGUUGCAGGAUGAGAAGAUGUAGAAUUUACUGAGCGUGCAGAUCUGAUGCUGAAGGAAUGCAUUCAAUAACAGAAACUAGAGAGUUGUCACAGGUGUAGCAAAAGUGUGAAAGGCAGGAGUGCUGGUAAAGAAACUGAUUUUUAUUUCUUGGACCCAUAUGGCAUGGGUCAGGGCAACAAAAGAUUAGGCCCCUAUCAUAUAGUAGGGGUGAAUCUCCAUUGACUCCAGUGGCUACUGUUACAAUCGGUGCCCACUAGCAGCUCAGAUCACCCCUCUGCUUAUGCAAGUGAAUAGGGUUGAUAUUAAGUGGAUCACUCCUGAAAGAGCAUGAAGAGAAGAGGGAUGACAUAUCUGCAUUGUCACUUCUCCCUUGGACUCUCUACAAGCUAUUCCAGAAGCAUUAACUUCUACUGGAUCACUUCCUUUACUGCUUCUGAAUAGCUGCAUAGGGACACGGACAAUAGAACCAUGGCUGGUUCUGGAGCUAUGCUGCCAGAAGUGGGGGCCAGAGAAGCAUCACAAACAGGGCUGGAUUAACCUUUUGUGGGCCCAGUGCCAAACAUAUUUGUGGCCCCCAUGGUGGCAAUGGACCAUGGCACGGGGAGGUUACUCCCCAGAGCGAGGGGCCAGCCAGAGGCAAUGGGGCCAGCCAUGGCAGAGGCAGCCCCACGCCCCCAAUGCAAGGUCCCUAUUUACAAACUAGCAGUUGCCACAUGCACACUGGCCUACCCGGUCCUGUGCUGCCAGCGUUCCCUUUCCCCUCAGGGGCAGGCCUAUGCCAUGCCAUACAGCUCCCCCCCCCGUCCAACACCCCCUGACUCACUGUGGCCAGAGGCCCUCCUAACCCACCCACAAAUGCACAGCGCCCUGCACAACACCACCCCUGCCCAGUACCCCCCUGCCCAGAGCCCCACCACAACUGCCCAGCACUCCGCACAGAACCCCCACUCCCUAGUGCCCCAACACACACACAUCCUCCCUGCCCUGUCACAGCCCAGCACCCCCACAUACUGCCCACAGACCCACUCCCCCAAGCCCUGCCUUCUGGCUGCACUAACCAGCCCUGCUGGGAGGUGACUAUUUCUGCCAGGCUGAGUCGGCAGUGCAGCCAGGCCUGGUCCCAGGGCCAGGAAUUGCUCCGUCCCCUCAGGAGUGGCGUGAUCAGCCAGGCCAGGAUCUGCCCUAGCCAGGGUCCCUCAAAACGCACUUGCCUGGAAGGACCCAGCCAGGCCCUCCACACCAUUCCCCCCCAUGCAUACACCUGGCUGAGACUGGCCAGGCUUCUGCACCAGUCCCAGGUGGCUCAGCUUUGUGGAGACAGGUGGGGCCCCACAGGUAGUGGGAAGCAGAGACGGCCCAAAGCCAGAGGUGCACUGGGGUCCGGCCAGGGGGCUGAGAGGAGCAGGGGGUGGAGGCACGGGCAGAGAGGAGUCCUUGGCCAGCCGGCGGGCAGGCUGAGAGGAGCACGUGAUGGGCUGGGGGAGCCAGCGGGGUCUUGGGGUGCAGUGCAAACGGAGCAGGCCUGGGCCUCUUCUGAGCAUGGGCCCGGCUGCAUAGAGCCACAGGAGCCAUUGUAAACCCAGCACUGAAAAGAGGCAGUGGCAUAGGCAGGAUGGUUCCAACUUCCAUGGAUCUAACCUUCUCUUCUUCAUGGAACCCCUGGAUAUGCAGGAUGAGGCGGCUUUGCCACCCUGUCCAUUCUGCAGCCCACAAACUCCUUCCCACUGGGGGACAAUUUCUUGAAAAUUCUUGUAGAGUUUUCAACCCCCUUCCAUAGGGUUCUCUGAAGAAGGGAGUGAUCUGCUCCAUAGCUAUCAAACUGAUCUUUCCUGGAAUUAAUAAAUUGUUGUGGACAAUUCAUUUCAUGCUGGUCUGGUCUGGUGCCUGCAAAGUUGGUUAGUAAUGCCUUCUUCUGUUGGAGUGGGGACCCUGACCUAAAAGGAAUUGCUACGUGGAAGUGAGAAGUCUAGUGCCUGGACUAAACUUGAAGCAAAUGAUGCCCACCUCUUGAUGAGGGCUCCAACUCUUUAUCGGGGGCUUUAGUUGUAUGUAGAAAAGAUAAAACUCAGGUCUGGGCUACGCUAGAGUUAGGUUGACACAAGGCAGCUUAUGUUGACCUAACUAUGGAAGUGUUCUACAUUUAAAUUUUGUAACUGCUCAGCUGCACUGACUUAAUAACUCCAUCUCCAUGAGCGGCAUAGAGUCAAGGUUGAUGUGGUUAAGUAGAUGCAGUGUCAGUGUAGACACUGUGUUGUUCAUGUUGACUGUUAGUGGCUUUCAGGAGCCUUCCCACAAUGCUCCACACUGACAGUACAAGAUAGUGAAGAAUGUCCUGCAGCUCAAGUGGUAGAGGGUUAAUUCUUUUGGAGCAAGAUGAUCUGUUGUCAUGAAGUUCUGAAUGUUGAUUUGUACAGCUAUGAAGUCCUAGGAAGCCACAGUUUUCUAAAUUAAGACAUGCUGAAUCUUGGCCAUAAUCACACAAAAAUGUAUGUAUUGUUACUGAACCAAAAAAUCAAAGGAUUGUUCAGGCUUGCAGAUAAAAAGGCUAAUGUAUCAACCAGAACUCAGUGAACUAGGAAGCCUCUACAUAGACUAAAUCUGUGACAAGAAUGCUUUAUUUUAUUAUUUAUUGUAUUAUUUUAAAAAUUGGCUAGAAUUGAUCAGACAACUGGGAGGAGUGUGGUAAGUAACACCCAUGAAAAGGUUAAUGCGAGCUUUCAGCAGCUACAAAAAGUUGCUAAGAAACAGUGUCAUGUCCUCCUGGGAUGUCCAGUGAGAGUCUGAGUAGAUGAUGUAAUGCUCAAAAUUUGUGUUUGAUUGGUUGGAUCUGUUGCCUCUUAAUGUCCUAUUAGUGUGUUGAUAGGCUGAACCUUUUCCACCUUCCUUAUACACACAGUUUAGCUAAGCUCUUAUUAAAUAAAGUUGGCGAUUUUUGUCUAACUCGCCUUUGAACUUUUAAUUACUAUGCUACAAACAGAGCACUAGCCCUGUCUGAAAGGAUGAUUUCAGGUGUGUGGUAAAGCCUGCACACCCUUCCUAUGUCUUCCACAGAGGCAGUCUUAAUGCCAUGAAAAAUGCUUUGGAGUAAUACAGUCAUCUAUAAUAACAAACACAUGGUAAGGGAAUAUUUGAUUAAUAAGGGAUUGUGGGAAGAUGUGUGUCCCAGAGUCACUUUCACCCUUCAGAUGACUGUUCAUUUAGGAAACAUUUUUAUAUUAGCUUUUUCACCACCUUUGAAAUCUACUGACUCUUAAGGAUAAAUAUUUGUGCAUCUCUCUGUUUGCCAAGAUGAUCCUGCAGAUGUGUAAUGUCUGUGUGUCACUGUGUGUAAAGUGCUUGAUGCAGCAGCAAGCUGGCUGCCCUAGAGAAGAUGACAGAAUCAGCAGAACAGAGCAGCUUUCCAUAUGUUCAGUUAAUUUCCUGCUAUAUGCCAGGACUCUUGCUCCUCCUGUGCAGAUGUAAGAAAAAUCAGGAACAAGUUUCUCAGUUUCUAAAUAUUUGUCUUUUCUGUUCCCUUCAGCACUCUGUGAACUGUCCUGCCUUCUUCUGUCUUCUGUUCUCUUUUCCAUCCUAUGUGUUUUUCUUCUACAGAGACAGCAUGUUUUAAUGGACUGAGCACAGAGCUGAGACUAGAGUCAAGAGUUCCUGAAAACGAAUUCCAGCUCUGCCAUGACUUGUUAUGUGAAUAUGAUUUCCAGGACAUAAUUUAUGUUACAUACAUAUGUUUAAAGGGUGCUUUGUAGACAACUGUAAUUUUUUUUAAUGAAUUACAAAAUAAAUUUAAACUCUAUCUGUUUCUUUAUUUGUUAUACAGGAAUAAAAAUGCUUCAUUACCUCACAGGCAAGUUAUGAGGAUCAGUGCUCUAAUAAUAUUGUUAAAUUUUCUAACUGCUAUAUACAUGCUAAGUAUUAUUCUUAUUCUCCUUGCAUUUGGGAAUUCCUGUGUAAAACUAUUAAAAAUGUUUAAUUUCUAGAAAUAAUGGGUAUGAAGACCAGCAUUUUCUGCAGUGUCCUAAAGGGUGACUGACUUACCACACCUUCAAUUUACAGCCUUUUUCUUGAUCUUUAAAGUUACACUGCCAAAUGAUUUAAGCCAGUAAUUUAUGCCCCAUCCUUCAAGAUGCUCUGUGUAGGUGGACUCCUGUACUCGUUGUACAGUUUGCAAAGUAGAGCCUUUGAUUUUGUAAAGAAAAUAAAUAAUAA